rnacentral:rRNA from 1 species
CGCUGGCGGAAUGCUUUACACAUGCAAGUCGAGCGGCAGCGCGGGGGCAACCCUGGCGGCGAGCGGCGAACGGGUGAGUAACAUAUCGGAACGUACCCAGUCGUGGGGGAUAACUAUCCGAAAGGAUAGCUAAUACCGCAUACGACCUGAGGGUGAAAGCGGGGGACCGAAAGGCCUCGCGCGAUUGGAGCGGCCGAUAUCGGAUUAGCUAGUUGGUGAGGUAAAGGCUCACCAAGGCGACGAUCCGUAGCUGGUCUGAGAGGACGACCAGCCACACUGGAACUGAGACACGGUCCAGACUCCUACGGGAGGCAGCAGUGGGGAAUUUUGGACAAUGGGGGCAACCCUGAUCCAGCCAUUCCGCGUGAGUGAAGAAGGCCUUCGGGUUGUAAAGCUCUUUCAGCAGGAACGAAACGGUGGUCCCUAAUACGGGCUACUAAUGACGGUACCUGAAGAAGAAGCACCGGCUAACUACGUGCCAUCAGCCGCGGUAAUACGUAGGGUGCGAGCGUUAAUCGGAAUUACUGGGC